rnacentral:rRNA from 1 species
UACGUAGGGGGCAAGCGUUGUCCGGAUUUAUUGGGCGUAAAGAGCGUGUAGGCGGCCAUACAGGUCCGUUGUGAAAACUGGAGGCUUAACCUCCAGACGUCGAUGGAAACCGUAUGGCUAGAGUCCGGAAGAGGAGAGUGGAAUUCCUGGUGUAGGCGGUGAAAUGCGCAGAGUAUCAGGAAGAACACCCGUGGCGAAGGCGGCUCUCUGGGACGGUACUGACGCUGAGACGCGAAAGCGUGGGGAGCGAACAGG